UUGUCUUGCAGCUAUGUCUGAACUAACUAAAUCAAUGUGCUGGGAACUAUUGGAAAUUAAUGAAGAUAAGCUAAAUGAAAUAGGUGUAGCUAUAUUCAGAAAGCCAACAUCCAAUGAUUGCUACCAGAGUAGAACACAAAAUGACCCACCUAUGUGUGAAGAAGCUGAUGAUCCAGAUGCAGCCUGGUACUUUUCUUUUAUUCACUCAAGCAUGGGCUUCUGUUGUAGUGCUGUAUAACAAUCGUAAAUCCAAAUAGUCUACCCGGAGACACAAGUUUGUAAAGCUAUAGAAAAUAUGCUAUUAGGAAAGAAUGGAAAUUUACUUGUCUUCAUUAUACGAGGCAUUAACCAAAAUUAAUAUUUAAGAACUUGCUAAGACCUCAUUAUUUGCAUGGUUUUGAUUUUAAAUUACUUACUAAGUUCUCAUUGUUGUGUAAAGCGAUUUGAACUAGAAUGUCACACCAGAUAACUUAUCCAUCUUACGCUGAAGUAUACAAUGACCAAAAAUUAGGAAUUUUUCAUAAUUCAAUCUUCUUGAGGAAGUUUGUUUGAUAUUUCUAGAGAAGAUGCAUGUGUUCUUUUGUUAUCGAAUUCAAUUCUUUCCCUUGAGUUGAGAAGGCAGCAAGAAACUUUUAUGUCCACUAAGUCACUAAAUGACAAAGUUCGUUACUUGGCUGUGUAAAGAUUCAAAAUCAAGCAGGCUUACAUUUUAUUGUGAUCAUAGUGCUUAUGGUUUGAUUUGUCUGACCUUACACCUAUCAGUAUGGUUUCAACUUUCUGCUUUGAUUUGAAAGGGAGAAAGGGAAAUAGCACCAUAUACAAUUAUAUUUGUUAGGAAGUUCAGAAUCAGCCUGAGGGGUAAGGUCUGCGUACCCACCCUCCCCAUACCCACGUUUGAAUUAUACCAAGUUUUUGUUGUUGUUGUUUUUGUUGUUGUUGUUGUUGUCGUCUUCAUCUCUUCUAUUACAGAUAAAACUACAUUUAUCCAUCUCCUGAACACUCGACCAGAAAAAAAAAUCCUAACUCGUUUUUUUUCUCAAUUCAGGAAUAUAACACUUGAGGCAUGUAUGCACAAAGCGCCAGAAGAUGCAUCUGCACGUGGUUCAAGGUGGCCAUCAAAAUGGCCAUUGAGAUCAGAGAAACUUCCUUAUUGGUUGACAAGUUCUCAAGUUGGAGUUUAUGGAAAAGCAGCCCCAGCAGACUUUGCUGCAGACGUUGAUCAUUGGAAACAUGUUGUGUCAAAAUCGUAUUUGAAUGGUCUUGGCAUUAACUGGUCUUCAGUAAGGAAUGUCAUGGAUAUGAAAGCUGUUUAUGGAGGGUAAGUUUUUAUCAGUCACUAUUUUCCUCAUUAUCUCUUAGCUACUCAUUUCCUCUAUGAUCAUUGCCUCUCUUUGAAGAUUAAAGGAAUAAAUUUCACAAAGAAUCUUUGGCAAAAUUUAGAGUGAUUCGAUGAAAUUAAUUGAUGAUUGCUAGAUGAAGUUUCCAUCGAUGAGACUUUCGAAAUAAUACAUCUAUCUCAAUUAAUGCCUCUCUCUCUCUCUCUGUGUGUGGUGUGUGUAUCUGUGUUUUUCAAAGAGAAUUGUCUGGAAAAAUUUGCAAUCUUUCAUUUGAGCUUAGUUAUGAAUAGAAUACAAAAAGAAGUAAAUGAUCCAUAUUGGCAAUAUAUAUAUAUAUAUCUCUCUAUCUAUCUCUCUGUUCACAAGGUUUGCUUGGUUUUGGAACAUCAGCCGAUGCUAAACGUCCUAGUUUAUUGCAGGUGGAAAACUUCUCCUAGAAUUGAAUCGUGUCUUGCGGCCUGGUGGUCACUUCCUUUGGUCUGCUACACCAGUAUAUCGGAAGGAUGAAGAAAGUGUUGGAAUUUGGGAAGGUGAUUGUGGCACGACUUAGUUGACAUUUCUCAUUUGCAAAUGAAAGUCAUAGACUAAUAUCUCGCUCUCUGAUUUAUUGUCUUGCAGCUAUGUCUGAACUAACUAAAUCAAUGUGCUGGGAACUAUUGGAAAUUAAUGAAGAUAAGCUAAAUGAAAUAGGUGUAGCUAUAUUCAGAAAGCCAACAUCCAAUGAUUGCUACCAGAGUAGAACACAAAAUGACCCACCUAUGUGUGAAGAAGCUGAUGAUCCAGAUGCAGCCUGGUACUUUUCUUUUAUUCACUCAAGCAUGGGCUUCUGUUGUAGUGCUGUAUAACAAUCGUAAAUCCAAAUAGUCUACCCGGAGACACAAGUUUGUAAAGCUAUAGAAAAUAUGCUAUUAGGAAAGAAUGGAAUUACAUUUACAUUAAAUCCGUUACUUGUUAGGGGUCUUUGUAUUCUCGUUAGGCUGUUAUAACCGUGUAGGGAUAGUGUGAGAUUUAGAUAACCUCUCUAGACAGAACCCCUAAUUUGUUUUCAUCUUAAAAGAAGUAUAUUUUAGUAUUGGAAUGAAAUGAACUUAAAAAGAGUGGAAUGGAUACAAAAGGAUUCAUAUAGCCGACCAAACCAAUUUAGAGCUGAUUGUCUGAUUUGAGUCGAUAUUAGGUGCAUGUAUUACCAGCAUUUAAACUGAGUCCACCUUUUUCAUUCUCUUGAUAACUAUCUUAUUUAUGAUGAUACAGAUUUGCUGCAGCUCUGAAAGACUUG
rnacentral:lncRNA from 1 species